GAAAAAAAGAAAAAAACAUUCUUAAGCAGUUUGAUGUGAGUCUUUGAAGACAGAAUUCAAGGGACCAAUAUUGUUUCCCCCCUUCUCAAUGCAGGAAGCCCUGUCCCAAUCUGUAUUGGCCCAAAUACUCUGAAUUCUUAUUUCUCACCUUAGAGGCUAAAAGAAGGAAACAAAACAAGAGAAACCCAACAAAAGCCUCUGUACUCUGUACUUGAGUGCUAUUCAGAAGUGCACGACCUUUUGCCAGCAGUGUUUUUGAGUAUGAUCUUGGCUGAUGUUUGUAUGGACUAUAAUAUGCUUUUGCAGCAUGCUUUGAACACCCCUAACGAAAUCAUCUUCUCUGCCAAACUAAAAACCCCUCCAACCUGUCUCUCAAUUGAAAAAGAACUUAGACAGGAACCAGACGUUCGCUCUGCAGGUACUUCUUCUACACAGACACGAGCACCUAAGGAAUUCUGCAAUACAAAACACGGAUGCUGAAUGAAUCUACACAUACUAAGGAUUAGACAGCUACUGAAACACAGACUCUGUUGGAAUUAUGUUCCACUCAGGCCCAUCCAAGUAACAGAAAUCAGUUUGAGGACACAGAAGCAGUUUAUAGGGCUUCCAGUAUGUGAGAAAAUAGCAGAUGGAUCACUCACUAAGGUCUCAGCUCACUUGCUCAAUUGACAGCAUUAUGGAAACAAUGCCGUGGUUGUGCACUGAAUCAAAUCAGUACGACACAAUUGUUCCAAAUGCACUGCAGUAACUUUGAUGAAGUGCUGCCACUGUAUAACAAGCAAAAUUAGAUCUUGCUGUCAAAACCAAAUAAAGUAGACUGAAUUCCCCUUUUUAUCUCUAGAGAUGAUGAAUGUAUCUCCUACACUUGUUGCAUGGAAUCCCUGUUUUCCAGUUCCAAUAAUGUCUCUCCAUGUGCUAUUAUCUCGCUUGUUGUGCUGUUCUUAUUCUUCAAAUUUCAUAAUUGACCAGUGCUCCACUUAGUUUUUUUUUAAACAUCUUGAUCACUUUUAACCUUUGCAGACACACUUCCAGUCUUGAAAUCCUGUCCUCUCUCAUUUCAGACAGUCCUCCUUUAUUUGGCUUCCUUCCUUAGUAAUUACUCUUUGAUUUAAUUUAGUCUUAAUUCUUUUCAGGUCACCUUCCUUGUUCCUCUCAAAUCAAGCUUACUGGGGGAAGAGGUACAACAAUUUUGGCCUUCUCUUUCCUCUAUCCUGUUCCCAACUUUAAAAACCACAAUUGACUUAUCUUCUCUAUGUUGGUGAUUUUACACAUACAAAACUCCUUCUCCAGUUUUCUACUUCUCUCUCCGCAUUGUCACACCUGUUUAUGUGCAUCCAUCUGCAAUGCCUUCUCCAAAUUCAAGUCUUUUUCACCACAGCGUGACAAAGUUGGGCACUCUGAGUAACCUGCUUCAAUUACAGGCCAAUGACAAAGGCUCACAUCUUCAAAUCUUAUUUGUCCCUACAUCUUCACACUCAAGAACCACAUCAGCAUUUUGCAGGUUUCUGCCAGUCUAAAACAUGUACUGCUUAGUCCACUUAUAUAUCUAAACUAAUCCAGGCCCUGAGCUCUUCCUUUUAAGUUGUCUUAGUCUCCUGAUUCAGAUCACCAUACAUUCAUACAAACCAUGCUACUGGCACAGCUUAAGGUGAGAUGUGGGAACAGAGAGUAACUGAAGCUACUUAAGCAGCUCUGCUAAUGUAUUAAAACCACAGUUUAUCCAUCUUCCUUUCACUAACACCUGGAUCUGCGUCUGAUGAUCUUCAGUCUGGCUCUAUUUUUGCAACUACUUCCUAUCUCAUACUUCACAAACUCUCGGAGCCAGAAUUUCAUACUGUCUGUACAAUCCCCAGAAAA